rnacentral:rRNA from 1 species
AGUGAACGCUGGCGGUAGGCCUAACACAUGCAAGUCGAACGGCAGCACAGUAAGAGCUUGCUCUUACGGGUGGCGAGUGGCGGACGGGUGAGGAAUACAUCGGAAUCUACUUUUUCGUGGGGGAUAACGUAGGGAAACUGACGCUAAUACCGCAUACGACCUACGGGUGAAAGCAGUGGAUCUUCGGACCUUGCGCGAUUGAAUUAGCCGAUGUCGGAUUAGCUAGUUGGCGGGGUAAAGGCCCACCAAGGCGACGAUCCGUAGCUGGUCUGAGAGGAUGAUCAGCCACACUGGAACUGAGACACGGUCCAGACUCCUACGGGAGGCAGCAGUGGGGAAUAUUGGACAAUGGGCGCAAGCCUGAUGCAGCAAUACCGCGUGGGUGAAGAAGGCCUUCGGGUUGUAAAGCCCUUUUGUUGGGAAAGAAAAGAAGCAGGUUAAUACCCCGCUGUUCUGACGGUACCCAAAGAAUAAGCACCGGCUAACUUCGUG